rnacentral:rRNA from 1 species
AGUGAACGCUGGCGGUAGGCCUAACACAUGCAAGUCGAACGGCAGCACAGUAAGAGCUUGCUCUUACGGGUGGCGAGUGGCGGACGGGUGAGGAAUACAUCGGAAUCUACUUUUUCGUGGGGGAUAACGUAGGGAAACUUACGCUAAUACCGCAUACGACCUACGGGUGAAAGCAGGGGAUCUUCGGACCUUGCGCGAUUGAAUGAGCCGAUGUCGGAUUAGCUAGUUGGCGGGGUAAAGGCCCACCAAGGCAACGAUCCGUAGCUGGUCUGAGAGGAUGAUCAGCCACACUGGAACUGAGACACGGUCCAGACUCCUACGGGAGGCAGCAGUGGGGAAUAUUGGACAAUGGGCGCAAGCCUGAUCCAGCCAUACCGCGUGAGUGAAGAAGGCCUUCGGGUUGUAAAGCCCUUUUGUCGGGAAAGAAAAGCAGCAGGUUAAUACCCCGCUGUUCUGACGGUACCCAAAGAAUAAGCACCGGCUAACUUCGUG